AGCAAAAUGAUGAGAUUGUUUAAUCUGAAGUUGAUGUGGAUAGCAUUUUACCAUGGUCUUCAAAGUUCUCUGAUUUCU